AAAUUGAAGAGUUUGAUCAUGGCUCAGAUUGAACGCUGGCGGCAGGCCUAACACAUGCAAGUCGAACGGUAGCACAGAGAGCUUGCUCUCGGGUGACGAGUGGCGGACGGGUGAGUAAUGUCUGGGAAACUGCCUGAUGGAGGGGGAUAACUACUGGAAACGGUGGCUAAUACCGCAUAACGUCGCAAGACCAAAGAGGGGGACCUUCGGGCCUCUUGCCAUCAGAUGUGCCCAGAUGGGAUUAGCUAGUUGGUGAGGUAACGGCUCACCAAGGCGACGAUCCCUAGCUGGUCUGAGAGGAUGACCAGCCACACUGGAACUGAGACACGGUCCAGACUCCUACGGGAGGCAGCAGUGGGGAAUAUUGCACAAUGGGCGCAAGCCUGAUGCAGCCAUGCCGCGUGUAUGAAGAAGGCCUUCGGGUUGUAAAGUACUUUCAGCGGGGAGGAAGGUGUUGUGGUUAAUAACCGCAGCAAUUGACGUUACCCGCAGAAGAAGCACCGGCUAACUCCGUGCCAGCAGCCGCGGUAAUACGGAGGGUGCAAGCGUUAAUCGGAAUUACUGGGCGUAAAGCGCACGCAGGCGGUCUGUCAAGUCGGAUGUGAAAUCCCCGGGCUCAACCUGGGAACUGCAUUCGAAACUGGCAGGCUUGAGUCUUGUAGAGGGGGGUAGAAUUC
rnacentral:rRNA from 3 species